rnacentral:Y_RNA from 1 species
GGCUGGUCUGAAGCAGUGAGUUAUCUCACGUUAUUAUUCACAGUCAGUUACAGAUUGAACUCCUUGUUCUACUACUUCCCCCUCCUCACUACUGCACUUGACUAGUCUUAA